rnacentral:misc_RNA from 1 species
AUAUAGUGUUUAAUUAGACAGAAUUAGAGGCAAGAAAAAUAUUGGCUUUGCUAAUUUGUACAUAAAAUGGAGAAGUUAACCUAAAAAACCUCAGCAUUUAAGCUCAACUGAGCAGUUUUGGAAACCGAGUCUUGGGAACCAUACUCAUCAUCAACGCUGCCCAAUUUAUGCAGAGCAUCAGACACCUCACGCAAUAACAAGGUAAGGCAGAAUCGUAAUUCCAACUCUUGCCCUUGUAGGAACAAAUGCGCACAGGAGGAGGAGAAAUUUUGUUAUACCUUCAUGUUUACACGAAUUUAUUUCUCUAUAUUUGGAUGAAUAGACUACAUACAAUUAAGGAAAAGAGACGGAGAGAGAUGAUGGAU